rnacentral:misc_RNA from 1 species
GAUGAAGAACGUAGCGAAAUGCGAUAAGUAGUGUGAAUUGCAGAAUUCAGUGAAUCAUCGAAUCUUUGAACGCACAUUGCGCCCUUUGGUAUUCCAAAGGGCAUGCCUGUUCGAGCGUCAUUUGUACCCUCAAGCUUUGCUUGGUGUUGGGCGUCUUGUCUCUAGCUUUGCUGGAGACUCGCCUUAAAGUAAUUGGCAGCCGGCCUACUGGUUUCGGAGCGCAGCACAAGUCGCACUCUCUAUCAGCAAAGGUCUAGCAUCCAUUAAGCCUUUUUUUCAACUUUUGACCUCGGAUCAGGUAGGGAUACCCGCUGAACUUAAGCAUAUCAAAGCGGAGGA